rnacentral:tRNA from 1 species
GUGUAGCUCAGUGGUACAGCACGUGCUUAAUAUGCGUGAGCCCUGGGUUUAAUCCCCAGCAC